rnacentral:lncRNA from 1 species
CUGUGACUUAGGAUGCUGCUGCUUUCCUGGCCCCUUGGUGCAGUGCUGUUGGGACUAAGGCUUUCAUUCAUCAUAGGCUUUCUGAGCUUUUGGGUCCUAAGGAAAGCACAGGCCGAUUUGUUACUCGAAGCCAUCCUCCUCUACUUUUCAAAAAUCUACUCCGGAAAAAGAAAAUUAUGUACAGAGAAGUCUACACUUGUUGAUACACCUAUCAAGAAAAGCUUGAUACACCUAAUGAAAACCAAAUGAUGUCUUCUCUAAAAGGAAGAUCUCCAGGGGCAUGCUCAGAUGGAGCUAGGAGAAAGACCUCAUAGGACGUGGGAAAUGCCAAUGAAAAUAAUCCCCUCAUCACACAUCUAAACUAUUCAGACUCGUCUGCAGCUGCUGAUGCAAGAACAUCAAAUUCUAGAAGUGUAAAGAAAAGGAGCACAUGAAGCUUUACUUCUGUUAAAUAAAACAAAGAAAAUAACUUACUUCAUUUUCUUUAAUAAAAGUCUCAAAUUCCAAGGAGAAGAAGAUUUGGAGAGAUGUUUGCUGUAUUUAAUGCUUAAGUACUAUAUUGAG